AGCGAACGCUGGCGGCAGGCUUAACACAUGCAAGUCGAGCGGGCCCUUCGGGGUCAGCGGCGGACGGGUGAGUAACGCGUGGGAACGUGCCCUCUGGUCUGGAAUAACCCUGGGAAGCUAGGGCUAAUACCGGAUACGCCCUUUUGGGGAAAGGCUUGCUGCCGGAGGAUCGGCCCGCGUCUGAUUAGCUAGGUGGUGGGGUAACGGCCUACCAAGGCGACGAUCAGUAGCUGGUCUGAGAGGAUGAUCAGCCACACUGGGACUGAGACACGGCCCAGACUCCUACGGGAGGCAGCAGUGGGGAAUAUUGGACAAUGGGCGCAAGCCUGAUCCAGCCAUGCCGCGUGAGUGAUGAAGGCCUUAGGGUUGUAAAGCUCUUUUAUCCGGGACGAUAAUGACGGUACCGGAGGAAUAAGCCCCGGCUAACUUCGUGCCAGCAGCCGCCGUAA
rnacentral:rRNA from 1 species